rnacentral:rRNA from 1 species
CUUUAUUGGAGAGUUUGAUCCUGGCUCAGGACGAACGCUGGCGGCAUGCCUAAUACAUGCAAGUCGAGCGGACUUG